GUGCCAGCAGCCGCGGUAAUACGUAGGUGGCAAGCGUUGUCCGGAUUUAUUGGGCGUAAAGCGAGCGCAGGCGGUUUUUUAAGUCUGAUGUGAAAGCCUUCGGCUCAACCGAAGAAGUGCAUCGGAAACUGGGAAACUUGAGUGCAGAAGAGGACAGUGGAACUCCAUGUGUAGCGGUGAAAUGCGUAGAUAUAUGGAAGAACACCAGUGGCGAAGGCGGCUGUCUGGUCUGUAACUGACGCUGAGGCUCGAAAGUAUGGGUAGCAAACAGGAUUAGAUACCCUGGUAGUCCAUACCGUAAACGAUGAAUGCUAAGUGUUGGAGGGUUUCCGCCCUUCANUGCUGCAGCUAACGCAUUAAGCAUUCCGCCUGGGGAGUACGGCCGCAAGGCUGAAACUCAAAGGAAUUGACGGGGGCCCGCACAAGCGGUGGAGCAUGUGGUUUAAUUCGAAGCUACGCGAAGAACNUUACCAGGUCUUGACAUACUAUGCAAAUCUAAGAGAUUAGACGUUCCCUUCGGGGACAUGGAUACAGGUGGUGCAUGGUUGUCGUCAGCUCGUGUCGUGAGAUGUUGGGUUAAGUCCCGCAACGAGCGCAACCCUUAUUAUCAGUUGCCAGCAUUAAGUUGGGCACUCUGGUGAGACUGCCGGUGACAAACCGGAGGAAGGUGGGGAUGACGUCAAAUCAUCAUGCCCCUUAUGACCUGGGCUACACACGUGCUACAAUGGAUGGUACAACGAGUUGCGAACUCGCGAGAGUAAGCUAAUCUCUUAAAGCCAUUCUCAGUUCGGAUUGUAGGCUGCAACUCGCCUACAUGAAGUCGGAAUCGCUAGUAAUCGCGGAUCAGCAUGCCGCGGUGAAUACGUUCCCGGGCCUUGACACACCGCCCGU
rnacentral:rRNA from 1 species